rnacentral:rRNA from 1 species
GCACUAAUCCUCCCAGGGGAACCUGGCCCUUAAUUCGAUGAUCCACGAACCUCUUACCCCUCCUAGUUUUUCUAUCCCAUAGGGAAGAAAAAAUCAGCUUGCAUACCGCCGUUGUUCAGCUUAUACCGUGAGGGCAUAGAAAUAGGCAACGCAGCAGCUUUACGCCGCUUCUAAUUCAGGUAAACGUGUAGCCUAUGGAGGGGGGCUGCUGGGUUACAGUAAAAGCUUAACUGGAGCUUAUGCUAAGACAGACUGCGAAAGAGGACUUGGAAGUAAUAGCUUUAGCUAAAAAAGCUGUGAAUAGAGCUCUAGUGUGUGU